GGGGUUGUGGCUCAGUGGUAGAGCACUCGCCUAGCAUGGGAGAUACCCUGGAUUCGAUCCCCAACACCACCU
rnacentral:tRNA from 1 species